CUAAAAGGAAAGCUCCUUCCACUUCAAGGGGCCCUUGCCCUGAGCUCCCUCUUGAAAAGUCCCCUCAGGAAUGUGCUCAGGGUGAGCUGGAGCUGUGAGCAACCGUGACCCAGACCCACGCAACACCUUCUCAGCAGGAGAAUGAACCUGCCCUGCUGGGGGUCUCUCCUCUCACCCAGAGCUUCUCCCCACAGUGCCGUGGGGAGUUCCCUGGGCAGGCUGAGUGCUGACCCUUGCAGGCGGCAGAGUCACUGCCCCAGGCACACAGCACCCUGCGGCACAGGGAUACUGCUCUGAAUUACAGCUCUGCGCUGACCUGGGUGCAUUCCCUGGCUUCACAACCCCAGAAGUCACCCCUGGGAUAAGGUAGCAGCAUGCCCUGUCCCUGUGAUGGUGUAGCAGGAAUCCUGCUCUGAAGCAUCUUCUCCUCCUCAGCACAAGAGAAGUCAGGAGAGAGAUCCUUAAGAACACAGUCGUGGGAUGGGCUGGGUUCAGAAGACCCCUCCAGGAACCUCAGUAGCAUUGCCUUGCAGCCAGAGAAUUACUGUGUCAGGAGCUGUGAAGAUUUCUUCCACAAGGAGCUCUCUUCUCUCUUAAGAGGAAUGGUUAUAGUAGACUUGUUGAUUAAUAUAAACAGUUUGUUUAGUUGGCUACAGUUACCAAAUACAAACAAUGCCACAGCCUGUAAUGCUGCAAUGCAGGUCCUAAAAGCAUUUCAGCACUUCUAUUUGUACAUCUGUGCCUUUUCCUUAAGGAGAAAGCUAAAGCAUAAAUAGACUUGGUGCUGUUCUGUUCCUUCUUACUUUUAGGCAGGAAAUCUGUUCUGUUGUUUGGCAUUCCUGUAUUACAGCAUCUGGACCUUUAGGAGAAGCACCUGAGAGCUGUUAAAGUAUGGACAGUCAUGCUACGUGGUUGGAUGCUCAUCUGCCACAUAAGAGGAUUAUCUCCCUUCGGGUUAUGUGAUGGUUGCCUCUGUGGUCAUCUACCAGCAAUGUCUAGUCAGUGCCUGCAUCUACUGCUAGCACUUUCCCCCUGGGGACCAGAACUGCCUGAGUGUUGCUCACCUGAUCAGACACCCAGAGAAAUGCAUCCUGGGAAAGGAUGCUUGCUGCUUUGGUCAUGGGGGGGGGGGGGGGGAGGCUCCACUCACUGCCCACACCAGGCACACGCUGUCCCUGGAGAUCCCCUGAGCUCUCCUGGGGGCUCAGAUUCCCCUCCACAAGGAUGGGCAUCUCUCAUCAGCACUGUCACCUGUGGGACAGCCUUGGGCAGGAAAUUCAGAGACCAUUCACCAGCUGCACUGGCACUGGUCACCAACAGAUAAAUCCCAGAUCUGUAAGGGAUCAAUAGGCCCACAGACUUCGUCCACACUCUCCUCCCCUCCACUCUCACUGUGCUUGGAGUGUUGGAGCUCUGUAGAGGGAAGGGAACAGCCCAUGGUGACAGCUGACUGCCACCCUCGCAGGAGAGGUGUUUGAGAUCACAUCUGACUGUGGCCACAGGAGCUGAGCUCUCCUAAUGAACACACAGGACCCAUGGUCCCACCCUGCCUGUACUCAUCUGAGCCUGACUCUGUGCCCCUGAGCUCCCUUGGUGUCAGCACCAAAAGAGACGCUGCAAAGGGAAACUUUCGUCAUUGCACUGAAGGCAUCCAAGCAGCUCAGACUAGCGGGCUUGGAGGUUCUCCCAUCUCUGCUGAUGAAGGGGGAAGCCUGGCUUCCUGCUUCAACACAAUCUCUCGAUCAGAUUCAAAUGAGAAAUUCCUGAGGACAAGUGGCAC
rnacentral:lncRNA from 1 species